UGGUGGAGUGAUUUGUCUGGUUAAUUCCGAUAACGAACGAGACCUUAACCUGCUAAAUAGCCAGGCCGGCUUCUGCUGGUCGCAGGCUUCUUAGAGGGACUGUCAGCGUCUAGCUGACGGAAGUUUGAGGCAAUAACA
rnacentral:rRNA from 1 species